UCAUACCGAGGCAGUCGUUGAGGAGGUUUGUCUUGAAAGCCCAAGCCGUCAAGGAGGUCCAAUACCCGACCUGGUUAGCCAACACGGUCGUGUGAAGAAGAAACAUGGAAAAUGGCAGGUCUGUGUAGAUUAAACGAACCUAAAUGACGCAUGUCCAAAGAUUGCUUCGUCCUGUUGCUCAUAGACUACCUUGCGGACGCUACGGUAGGCACAAGAGAAAAGAAAGAACAAUUGUGUGUGAACUUCUAUUAAAUGCAUAGACUAGCUUGUGGACGCUACGGCAUGCGCAAGAGAAAAGAAAGAACAAUUGUGUGUGAACUUCUAAUUUUAAUAGAAGGAGAAACUGAAAACUUAUAGCAAUAGAUCUAAAUUUCUGUUUUUAGAUGGGCUUUGUCGAUGGUGUCACUUCCAAGUGGUUUGUGCUGGUUGUAUCUUUGUGGGGUGACAUAGGAUUAGUGGGUGGAUUGGAAGUGAAUUGGUAGAAGAGGUAGAUUAUACAAGUGUAAUUGAUACUUUUGCUUCUAAAAAUAUAAAAAGAAUAAUAUUCAAGUAUGAUCAUGCGUUCUUAUGAUGACAUGUAUUUGUUAGUUUGUGAUGAAAUAUGUUUUUGAGACUUUGUAGUUUGUGUUCUUAUUACAUAAUGAAAGAUGAGUACUUUUUAUA